CCCAACCUCUGAGCAGUGAGAGAUCUCCAGGGGUCCCAGCACUUACCCAGGGUUUGGUUUCCUUGGAAACAAGGUCCACCUAUAUGAAAAUGAUCUUUGCCAUCAAAACCUCCAAGAAAUCUUUAAAUUGAUACUGACAGACCUGCUGUCAAGGGCCCCAACCACUGAAAAAUUAUCAUGCAUGUUGGAAGAGCCAAGUUGUUACAGAAUAUGAGGAUGAAAAAAGGACCUGGCUGACAGCAGCAUCCAAC